rnacentral:rRNA from 1 species
UACGUAGGGUGCGAGCGUUAAUCGGAAUUACUGGGCGUAAAGCGUGCGCAGGCGGUGAUGUAAGACCGAUGUGAAAUCCCCGGGCUUAACCUGGGAACUGCCUUUGUGACUGUACGGCUAGAGUGUGUCAGAGGGGGGUAGAAUUCCACGUGUAGCAGUGAAAUGCGUAGAUAUGUGGAGGAAUACCGAUGGCGAAGGCAGCCCCCUGGGAUAACACUGACGCUCAUGCACGAAAGCGUGGGGAGCAAACAGG